GCGAAUAUAGGUUUAAUCGGUUAGAAUGUCGGAUUGUGAUUCCGGAAAGUAUGGGUUCGAGUCCCAUUAUUCGCC
rnacentral:tRNA from 1 species